CUGAGCGCGAGCCGCGUGGGGGAUGACGGCCUUCGGGUUGUAAACUCCUUUCGUUAGGGACGAAGCCUCUCCUGUUUUUGGGUGUGGUGUCGGUACCUUUGUUAAGAAGCGCCCGGUAAUAUCUUGCCAGCAGCCGCGGUAAUACGUAGGGUGCGAGCGUUGUCCGGAAUUACUGGGCGUAAAGAGCUCGUAGGUGGUUUGUUGCGUCGUCUGUGAAUUCCGGGGC
rnacentral:rRNA from 1 species